rnacentral:rRNA from 1 species
UACUACAGCCAUGCCACCCUGAACAAGCCCGAUCCCAUCUGAUCUUGGAAGUUAAGCAGUGUCAGGCCUGGUUAGUAUUUGGAUGGGAGACAACCUAGAAAGACCAGAUUCUGUAGGUG